rnacentral:lncRNA from 1 species
CUGCGUCCCAAGCGUGGUUCCCGGACGGAGUUCGACGUGGGACUCGGCCCGAUGUAAAUUUCGGCGGCCGCUCGGCGUAUGGCGGUGAGCGGCGCGGAAGGGACGCCUGGGUGGCGGGGCUCGGGGCGGUCGGCGGCGCCCCGUGACUCUCGUGCUGCCUCCCUUUCCCCAGGCUCUAGGACGUCCUGCUCGGAGGGUGCCAGCAGCCCUGGAACCUGGUGCCGCUCGCGCGUCCCGCAAACCCCAGCUCCCGGGCCGGGGCCCCGAUGCCCCGGGUCCUUCCGCCUUGGGUCUCCACUGGGCGCAACCCACGUGCGUUGCCGCCGCCUCCGGAGCGCACCCCGUCCGCGAUGAAGGUGUGGCUGUCUCGAAGAAGCAAAAGAAGAAGAAAACCCAGACCAGGGUCUCUGUGGCGAAUGGAGGCGAGAAGGCCUCCGAGAAGCCUGCCGCAGAGGACUCUCCCCUAAGCUCCGAGGCCCAGGCAAGGGUGGGUUCUCCGGUGAAUCUGGGAGCGAGUCUGCGAGUGGUGUGGUCCAAGAUCUGCUGGGGGCGAGGGUGGUUAAGGCCUGGCGGGAAGUGGGGUGUGGCUUGCGGGGGGUGGUGGUGGGGGGGUCCCAGUGCCUCUUGUAACAAUUCAUCACAGGCGGAGCAGCUGGCCCGGGAACUGGCCUGGUGUGUGGAGCAGCUGGAGCUGGGCCUCAAGAUGCAGAGACCUACCCCAAAACAGAGUGAGGGUCCUUCACAUAUAGUUGGGGGGAUGUGAUAGUGACAGUGGUUCUGCAAGGGGAUGUAAUUGUUUUUGCGAUAGGACAACAGGAGUUGAGCAUACAUAGUUACUAGUCGUUUGUGUGUUUUUAAUAUUUUUUUAGUUGUAGAUGGGCACAAUACCUUUAUUUAUUUUUAUGUGGUGCUGGGGAUAGAACUCGGUGCCUCACAUGUGCAAGGCAAGCUCUCUAUCACUGAGGCACAACCCCACUCACUUGUCCUUUGUUUUUAUCUGCAGAAGAGCAGGCCAUUGGCGCAAUCCGAACUCUACAGAGUCAAAGAACUCCCCUGCCUCGAAAGAGGCAGCUGAUGCACUCCUUGUUUGGGGACUACAGGGCCCAGAUGGAGGCCGAGUGGCAAGAGUCCUUGCGGGCUCUCAGGGCUGGUGAGUAUCUUGGGAAGUGGUUAGUUCAGUAUACUUAGUUCAAGGGGGUAGGGAGUAACUAUCUAGGGAGUGGAAAGGAGAACCUCAGAACAUGCUGGGUGCAAUGGUACAAGCAUAUAAUCUCAGCUGCCUGGGAGGCUGAGGCAGGAGGAUUUCAACUUGGUGAGACCCUGUUUCAAAAUAAAAAAAAAUAUUUAAAAAAAUGGUUGGGAUAUGGCUUAGUAGUUGAGAGCCUCUGGAUUUAAUCCCCAGUACUUUAAAAAAAAAAAAAAAAGUCUAGAACAGAAAGGCUGGUCCUGGAUGGAGAUGGGCUCAGGGAAGCCUGAGCAGGGAGUCUGUACAUCUUGUGGGGGUUGGGAGGAAGUGAAGUGGCUGGCUUCUCCUGGUUCUGUUCCUUUGGUGGGGAAAGGUGUCCCCACCUGCCUUUGCUUUGACUUUCUCUAUGGGCCAUGAAGCCAGAUGCCAUAGCAUUGUGAGUAUGAUUCCUAGGGCUGAGUAACCUUGGUUCAAACCCUGUUUCUACAACUUGAUCUUGACAUAUUUGUCAGAUUACUGAAUCUGAUUCUAAACAUGGGGUGAUGAUAAUAUAAUAAUUUUGAGAAACUGAUUAGUAAAUUUUAAUAACAGUUGGAAUUGUGUGGGAUUCAUAACUGCAUAGAUAAUGUGAGCUAUUACUCAGUUCUGACCCUUUGCUUCCCCUUUCAUUGACAGCUGCCCGUUCAGCCCAAGUGCAGCCUGUAGGUGAGGCCUUCAGAAAGAAGAGCCAAAGGAUCUGCAGACCUCGUCCAGCAGGGAGAGCCAAGGCCACUCUGGACAUUCCUGAUGAAGAGUUUAGGUUCAAUUUCUUUUAGCUUCUCCCCUAUCUUGGCACAGUCCUCUCUCCCUCACGGUGUUGUCAAGGUUUGUCGUGACUGUAGUGCCUUUCUAGGAAUUCUCUGUCAGCAGGUAUGAGAUUGGUUGGUUCUUGCCUGGUCCAUGCAUCUGAGUUUGUUGGGCAGGUGUGAGACUGUCAGAUGAGCAUAAGACUCCAUUUGUAGAUUUUCUAAAUGAAAUAUGUCUUCUGCCAGAAGAGAGAGAGGUGCAUUUAGGAGAGGUGCAUUUAGCUUCUAUGAUAAGCUGAAGUGAGUGUUCAGUUAUUAUUGAACUUGCUGGGUGUGGUGGCAUACGCCUGUAAUCCCA